rnacentral:rRNA from 1 species
CCUUGACAUACUAAGAACUUUCCAGAGAUGGAUUGGUGCCUUCGGGAACUUAGAUACAGGUGCUGCAUGGCUGUCGUCAGCUCGUGUCGUGAGAUGUUGGGUUAAGUCCCGCAACGAGCGCAGCCCUUUUUCCUUAUUUGCCAGCGGGUCAUGCCGGGAACUUUAAGGAUACUGCCAGUGACAAACUGGAGGAAGGCGGGGACGACGUCAAGUCAUCAUGGCCCUUACGGCCAGGGCUACACACGUGCUACAAUGGUCGGUACAAAGGGUUGCUACCUCGCGAGAGGAUGCUAAUCUCAAAAAGCCGAUCGUAGUCCGGAUCGCAGUCUGCAACUCGACUGCGUGAAGUCGGAAUCGCUAGUAAUCGCGGAUCAGAAUGCCGCGGUGAAUACGUUCCCGGGCCUUGUACACACCGCCCGUCACACCAUGGGAGUUUGUUGCACCAGAAGUAGGUAGUCUAACCGCAAGGAGGACGCUUACCACGGUGUGGCCGAUGACUGGGGUGAAGUCGUAACAAGGUAAGCGUAGAUGA